rnacentral:rRNA from 1 species
GACGAACGCUGGCGGCGUGCUUAACACAUGCAAGUCGAGCGAUGAAAGCCUUAUGAACUAUUCGUAGUGAUUGAGGCCGGAUUAGCGGCGGACGGGUGAGUAACGCGUGAGCAACCUGCCUUAAACAACGGGAUAGCCUCGGGAAACCGGGAUUAAUACCGUAUGAGACCCCGCCUUCACAUGAAGAAGAGGUUAAAGACUUAUCGGUUUAAGAUGGGCUCGCGUCUGAUUAGCUAGUUGGUGAGAUAAAAGCCCACCAAGGCGACGAUCAGUAACCGGCUUGAGAGAGUGAACGGUCACAUUGGAACUGAGACACGGUCCAAACUCCUACGGGAGGCAGCAGUGGGGAAUAUUGCACAAUGGGGGAAACCCUGAUGCAGCGACGCCGCGUGAGCGAUGAAGGAAUUCGUUUCGUAAAGCUCUGUCCAAGGGGAAGAUAAUGACAGUACCCUUGGAGGAAGCCCCGGCUAAAUACGUGCCAGCCGCCGCAGUAA